GUCUCCCCGGAGACAUCCGAUAAAAUUGAAAAGAUACAGAGAUGAUUAGCACAGGCCCUUGCGCAAGGAUGAUGGGCGCAAAUUGAGAAACGGUUUCAUUUUUU